UUGGCCUUAUAAUCUCUCAUUACGUACCUUAGCUUCUCCAUUAUUUAAUUUCUAAGUUAUUAUAUACUCAAAAAGUUCUCAUGAUGACAGAUAAAAAAGAGAUGAAACUAGACCUCUUACCAGAAGAUUGUAUCGUUCAAAUCCUAUCGUUCAUGUCUCCUCGUGAUGCUUCUCAAUUGUCUUUGGUUUCGACUAUGAUUCGUGAUGCAGCCCUAUCGGACUUGUUAUGGGAGAAAUUCUUGCCCUUUGAUUAUUGAGAAAUCAUCGAAAGAUUAGUGUUGCCAAUUGCAUUUCCGUCAAAGAAAGAGUUGCUUCUUAAACUCUUUAAACCUCUUCUCAUUGAUGGUGGUAGCAAGAGCUUUUCAAUAGACUGGACAACAAGUAAAAAGCGUUAUAUGUUGAGUGCAAGGGAGCUGUCAAUUACUUGGUCCACCAAUCCCCUCUACUGGUGCUGGAAACCCCUCCUUCACUCAAGGCUAUCACACAGUAAAUGAGGUUUACUCAAUAUACAUAAAGUGUUCACCACAGAGUGCUCACCUGAAUGUCAGAGGAUAUGGCAGAGAUGCAAAUUAUCUUGGGUUAAAAAAAAUAGUUACUUAAUUACGUAUUUAUUAGUAAUUACCCAUUUCUUAAUCGGUACUCUUCAAUUUAAAAAUAAAAAUAUUCAAACAAAAUGCUAGAACAGAAAGGCGAACCUAAUUAAAAGAAUAUAUUCUCUAACCAUAAUUUAUUUCA